AAGUCGGACUAUCGUACUCUGGAACACGCUUCAAUAGAUUAACGUUCGUGCGCAUGAGCACGCAAUCGCGUGAUACCGGGUUGUCAUAUGACACAGUUGCAGCAGCCAUAAAGGAUCCACUCGUCUUGGCCAAAUUGCAGUUCUACGCAGCAAUUGCCAGGACCUUCAAUCCCUUCCUGAAAAAAUAUCAGACGGAUAAGCCUGUGCUCCCAUUCCUCCCCAAGGACCUGACCGAGUUGAUGAGUCUACUCAGACGCUUCAUAAAGAGAGAAGUACUACACGAUAUCACUGCCCUGCAGCUGACCAAACUGGAUGUCACAGACAAGACCAUCUGGCUCAGCCCACAAGACAUCAGCAUUGGUCUAGGUGCAGAGUUAGUCCUUUAGAGAAUCAAAGGUGCAGAGCUCAGGGUGCUCGAGUUCAAGAGAGAGUGCUUGCAGUGACUGAGUAACAUGAUCAAGAAAGUGCAGGACAAGAGCCCCCUCAUGUAUCUGACUGUUAGGCAGAUGGUGUGCCUGGAUCCGUCAGUAAUAUAUAGAGAACCAGAAAGAGGCAGGAAUCACAUGAAAGGGCUGGUUCAAAGGUUUCUCCAGGACAGACAGCUUACUGAUACUUCUUCGGGGGAUGUCAUACUGCAGCAGUUCGACAGUCUCCUGUCCUUGGAGAGCCGGAGUGAGGACUUCCUCUCCUUUCAACCCAUGCAGAAGAGGCUGGACAUCUUCCUGAGCAGCGCCAUGGAGCCUUAUCCCGAGCUGUGGGCCUUCUGCAAGAAGCUGCUCAUCCUCUCCCACGGUCAAGCUAGUUGAGCGUGGAUUCUCAAUCAAUAAAGAGGUGGAGUCUGAUAACUUGGCGGAGGAUACUGUGGUCACACGGAGACUGGUGUGUGACUACAUCAUACAACGUGGAGGCGUUACCAAGGUUCCAUUCAGUAAACCGCUACUGGAAAGUGUAGCAAGGGCAAGGACAAGGUAUCGUACCCAUCUGGAGACCAAAAGAAGGAACAGGGAGGAAAAAGACCAGGCUCUCAAGAGGAGGGAAGCAGAGGACUGUCUUGAGGAGCUGAAGGUUAAGAGGAGACGUGUACAGGAGGUAUCUGAGGGUCUGGCUAGGGAUGCGGACAAGAUGGCUGAGGAGGCUGAAGCGAAGGCAGGGAGCAAGAUGGCUGGCCUGAUCACCAGGUCAAACAUCUUGCGGAGAGGCCAUAAGGAGAAGUUGGCAGAACUGGCUCUCCUUGAUAAAGAGAUCGCUGCUAAGAGUGCAGAGCUUAGGAGUUGACUGUGUGAUGGUGAUCAUAAUUUUAUUUAUUGUUGAGUUGAUUUUUAUUUUUCAGGAGUCUGUGCUGUUGGCGUAAGUACUCACCACUAUGCUGCAAUGUUCCAUCAUUCCAUAAUGCUUUACAGUCCACAUUUUCACAUUUGUUGAAAUAAAUGAACACAUUUUGAACAAACGUUGUCGGUAGGUCUGUGAAAUAGGCCGUGAAAUAGGUAUUAAUUUUUAUAUAAGUGGUCUUAAAAGGGACUUAAAAAGACUUGAAUUUGACUUGAACAAACCUGUAGGAACCCUGUAAUAAAAUAACCUCAAAC
ensembl:lncRNA